rnacentral:rRNA from 1 species
UCUGGCGACAAUGCCGCGGGUGAAAUUCCUCUUCCCAUUCCGAACAGAGCAGACAAGCCCCGCAGGGCCGAUGGUACUUUACGGGUAACUGUAUGGGAGAGUAGGUCGUUGCCAGGA